rnacentral:rRNA from 1 species
UACGUAGGGUGCGAGCGUUAAUCGGAAUUACUGGGCGUAAAGCGUGCGCAGGCGGUUCGUUGUGUCGGCGGUGAAAGCCCCGGGCUUAACCUGGGAAUGGCCUUUGAUACUGGCGAGCUCGAGUGCGUGAGGGGUAACCGGAACGAGCAGUGUAGCGGUGAAAUGCGUAGAUAUUGCUCGGAAGGCCAACGGCGAAGGCAGGUUACUGGUGCGCAACUGACACUGAGGCACGAAAGCGUGGGGAGCAAACAGG